rnacentral:rRNA from 1 species
CCUACGGGGGGCAGCAGUGGGGGAUAUUGCACAAUGGGGGAAACCCUGAUGCAGCGAUGCCGCGUGAAUGAAGACGGCCUUCGGGUUGUAAAGUUCUGUCGCAGGGGACGAAAAUGACGGUACCCUGCAAGAAAGCUCCGGCUAACUACGUGCCAGCAGCCGCGGUAAUACGUAGGGAGCAAGGGUUGUCCGGAAUUACGGGGUGUAAAGGGAGCGUAGGCGGGAGGAAAAGUUGAAUGUGAAAUCUAUGGGCUCAACCCAGAGCUGCGUUCCAAACUGUUCUUCUUGAGUGAAGUAGAGGCAGGCGGAAUGCGUAGUGUAGCGGUGAAAUGCGUAGAUAUUAGGAGGAACACCAGUGGCGAAGGCGGCCUGCUGGACCGUAACUGACGUUGAGGCUCGAAAGCGUGGGGAGCAAACAGGAUUAGAUACCCUUGUAGUC